UACGGGGGGGGGCAAGCGUUGUUCGGAAUUACUGGGCGUAAAGGGUUUGUAGGUGGCCGGCUAAGUCAGACGUGAAAUCCCUCAGCUUAACUGGGGAACUGCGUCUGAAACUGAUCGGCUCGAGUGCAGGAGAGGAACGCGGAAUUCCAGGUGUAGCGGUGAAAAUGCGUAGAGAUCCGGAGGAACACCAGUGGCGAAGGCGACACGCUGGGCCGUACCUGACACUGAUGCGCGACAGCAUGGGGAGCAAACAGG
rnacentral:rRNA from 1 species